GCACCACAACCAUACAACACUCCACAACCCCACAAUCCUCCUCCACCUCAUUCUGCACCUCAACCGCAUAAUGCACCUCAACCCUACAAUGCACCUCAACCCUACAAUGCACCACAACCCUACAACACUCCACAACCCCACAAUCCUCCUCCACCUCAUUCUGCACCUCAACCGCAUAAUGCACCACAACCACAUAAUGCACCACAACCACAUAAUGCACCUCAACCCUACAAUGCACCACAACCAUACAACACUCCGCAACCCCACAAUCCUCCUCCACCUCAUUCUGCACCUCAACCCUACAAUGCACCACAACCAUACAACACUCCACAACCCCACAAUCCUCCUCCACC
rnacentral:lncRNA from 1 species